UACAGAGGAUGCAAGCGUUAUCCGGAAUGAUUGGGCGUAAAGCGUCUGUAGGUGGCUUUUUAAGUCCGCCGUCAAAUCCCAGGGCUCAACUCUGGACAGGCGGUGGAAACUACCAAGCUUGAGUACGGUAGGGGCAGGAGGGAAUUUCCGGUGGAGCGGUGAAAUGCGUUGAGAUCGGAAGGAACGCCCGUGGCGAAGGCGACUUUCUGGACUGUAACUGACACUGAGGCUCGAAAGCGUGGGGAGCAAACAGG
rnacentral:rRNA from 1 species